UUGCUCCUCCUGUUUUGACUAUAAAAGAAGAGGUUCAACUAUUUGUCUUCAGUUUGAUCGUAGACUCUUGCUGCUUCCUUCCUCUCCAACUUUAUCUGUCCUAUUCACAUUAACCCUCAUAAGAAAUGGAAGAAAUUGAAGGAAUUUUUGAGGCUUUUGAAGAUUAUGUUGACGGGGCAGACGAGGCCGCAGAAGACUUGACAGAAGAAGAAAAGGCAGAACUAGAGAGGGAAGUCGCUGAAGCAAAAAAUGCACUUUCUGAGCUUUCAGAACAAUUAAAGAGUUUCAAAGAAAUCCUUCAGAAUUUAAAAUCAGCAAUAGGGCCAAUAACAAAAUGGUUGGCAAGAAAUAUAGCUAUUGGUGCCAUCUUUUGGGGAGUUAGUACUGGUCUGACCAGACUGCUCAAGUAUGCAACUCCUAAAGAAAAGGAAAGGAAACGUACUAUCAUUAGUGCUCUCAAGUGUGUGAUCAACAGUGAAACUGACCUAAGCAAGAAGACGCUGAGUUGGACCAAGGAUCACCAGGAUGACAUGAUUACCCUGGAAACCUAUCCCGUGCCUCUGGAAUCCAUCAUGGCCAAAUAUCUGACUCCAGUAUCAAAGAGUCUCUUCUUUUCACUCCUCCCAAACUCUACAAUCAUGGAAUUGAUUAACUGGUCUCUCAGCACAACCAGAAGUCAGGGGGUGAGGGAGCCCUCCUGCCCCCAUGGGAUGUUUUUACUGGAUACACAAUGGAUUCCUGGAAACACUGGAAACCGUUGUGUUUGGUGAUUCUGUCUGUCGAGGACGUUGAAGAUGCUUCAUAAUUGGAUUUAUGAUAGCAGGAUUUCUUCUAAUUGGAGUGGGGAUUUUCCUGGCCUAUCGACAAACGCGUAAGUCGUCGACAGCUGUUCUGGCUCUUUCAGAGCUGCCGGACGUGGCUGAAGGAUCAAGCAAGGUGAUCAACACUCAGACUUUAACGUUGGGGGAGCAAAGCCGUAAGCUGGAUGUGAUUCUUGAACAGAAUCUCAAUCACAAAAUGAAAUUAGACGAGUUGGAGUUAGAGAUAUUAGUGGAAGAGGCAAAUUGUUGUGCCGUAUUCAGCACCCCUGCCGUGAAAAGCACCCCCUCGUAUAUUCAAUGAUAAGUAGACCAAGAAAAAAAACAACACACUGACACUUCAAUAUAUUUAUAUAUACACACUCACACAAACACAUACUUAGGAGUUUAUAAUAUAUAUAUAUAUUUACAAAUAUUAUGGAAGACAACACAGUAAGCAGGCUAUUAAUUAAUGACAUCAAUAACCAUUUACCUGAUUUUUGUUAUCUGUGACUGUGAUUGUGGGAAAGUAUGACUAUUGUGGAAUCCAUGAGCGCAUUUAAACAUGAAUCAUUAACACAAAACUGGACGCUAAACAGAACGUGACACGGAAUGAGAAUAUCAUUUUUGUCAGACGAGGGGGUGCUUUUCACGGCAGGGGUGCUGAAUACGGCACAACACCGGGGUAUGACAACUGCAGAAGAUAUACAUUUUGUGAUAUUCAUUUCGUGAUUUAUUGUGUGGAAAAUACUGCAAUGUAGUUGCAGGU